GGUUCACUAGCUCAGUCGGUAGAGCACAUGACUUUUAAUCAUGGU
rnacentral:tRNA from 1 species